UACAGGGGGUGCAAACGUUGCUCGGAAUUAUUGGGCGUAAAGCGCGCGUAGGCGGCUACUUAAGUCGGAUGUGAAAGCCCUUGGCUCAACUGAGGAAGUGCACCCGAAACUGAGUGGCUUGAGUACCAAAGAGGGUCGCGGAAUUCCCGGUGUAGAGGUGAAAUUCGUAGAUAUCGGGAGGAACACCAGUGGCGAAGGCGGCUCACUGGUCCAUUACUGACGCUGAGGUGCGAAAGCGUGGGGAGCAAACAGG
rnacentral:rRNA from 1 species